AUUGAACGCUGGCGGAAUGCUUUACACAUGCAAGUCGAACGGCAGCACGGACUUCGGUCUGGUGGCGAGUGGCGAACGGGUGAGUAAUAUAUCGGAACGUAUCUAAUAAUGGGGGAUAACUAAUCGAAAAGUUGGCUAAUACCGCAUACGUCCUACGGGAGAAAGCUAGGGACCUUCGGGCCUGGCGUUAAUGGCACGGCCGAUAUCGGAUUAGCUCGUUGGUGAGGUAAAGGCUCACCAAGGCGACGAUCCGUAGCUGGUCUGAGAGGACGACCAGCCACACUGGAACUGAGACACGGUCCAGACUCCUACGGGAGGCAGCAGUGGGGAAUUUUGGACAAUGGGCGAAAGCCUGAUCCAGCCAUUCCGCGUGAGUGAAGAAGGCCUUCGGGUUGUAAAGCUCUUUCGCAAGAGAAGAAAACUUACCCUCUAACAUAGGGUGAGGUUGACGGUAUCUUGAUAAGAAGCACCGGCUAACUACGUGCCAGCAGCCGCCGUAA
rnacentral:rRNA from 1 species